UACGUAGGGGGCAAGCGUUGUCCGGAAUCAUUGGGCGUAAAGAGCGUGUAGGCGGCCAGAUAAGUCCGCUGUGAAAUCUCGAGGCUCAACUUCGAGCUGUCGGUGGAAACUGUCUGGCUAGAGUCCGGAAGAGGAGAAUGGAAUUCCUGGUGUAGCGGUGAAAUGCGCAGAUAUCGGGAGGAACACCAGUGGCGAAGGCGACUUCCUGGCCUGUUCUUGACGCUGAGGCGCGAAAGCUAGGGGAGCAAACGGG
rnacentral:rRNA from 1 species